AUUGAACGCUUGCGGCAGGCCUAAAACAUGCAAGUCGAGCGAGCGGCGGACGGAUGAGUAAUGUAUGGGGACUGCCCGAUCGAGGGGGAUAACUACUGGAAACGGUAGCUAAUACCGCAUACUAUCGGAUAACCCAUAUGGGAUUAGCUAGUAGGUGAGGUAAUGGCUCACCGAGGCGACGAUCCCUAGCUGGUCUGAGAGGAUGAUCAGCCACACUGGGACGGAGACACGGCCCAGACUCCUACGGAGGCAGCAGUGGGGAAUAUUGCACAAGGGGCGCAAGCCUGAUGCAGCCAUGCCGCGUGUAUGAAGAAGGCCCUAGGGUUGUAAAGGACUUUCAGUCGGGAGGCGUUACCGACAGAAGAAGCACCGGCUAACUCCGUGCCAGCAGCCGCGGUAAUAC
rnacentral:rRNA from 1 species